UAAUUUUUCGUUCAUUCGUUUUGCAUCUGUUUCUGUUGUUUGAUUUCGCUAUUGGAUUUCAAAUAGUUUAGUUGUGCAUUUUCUCCAACGUUUGUGAACAAAAUUGUAAUCAGAAUAUAAUAUAUAUAGUGCGCAAAUAAAUUAACUUUCUGCACUGAUAUUUGAAAUUAUAGAACGCAAUGCGUUCGUUAUUAUACGUUUUAUUCGCUUUGCUAGCGAGCGCUACUGCGCAAAAGCUGGAGAAGAUGAAUACGAUUUCGGAUAAUAUGGGCAAAGUGUAUCACUAUCAGCCGGAACAAGUGCACUUGGCAUUUGGUGAAACCACACGCGACAUCGUUGUAACUUGGUCCACACGCGACGAUACUAAAGCGUCUAUCUGUGAAUAUGGCCUUGAAACGUUUGAGUUUAUGCAAAAUGCAACAGAGCCACCAAAAAAGUUUGUGGAUGGCGGCAGCGCGCACAGCGCACAAUACAUACAUCGUGUGACCUUGUCCAAUUUGGCACCAGAAAAGCGUUAUAUUUACCAUUGCGGCAGCACGCUUGGCUGGUCGCCGCAAUUUUGGUUCCGCACACCACCGACGCAUGCGCAUUGGUCACCCACGCUGGCGAUUUACGGUGAUUUGGGCAAUGAGAAUGCGCAGUCAUUGCCGCGCUUGCAGCAGGACACGCAACGCGGCAUGUACGAUGCGAUUUUGCAUGUGGGCGAUUUCGCUUACGAUAUGCAUUCGGAGAAUGCCGCUGUUGGCGAUGAGUUCAUGCGUCAAGUGGAGGCCAUAGCAGCUUAUGUGCCCUAUAUGGUGUGUGCGGGCAAUCAUGAGCAGACCUACAAUUUUUCGAAUUAUCGCGCGCGCUUUCACAUGCCUGGCGGCACGGAAAAUCUAUUUUAUAGCUUCGAUUUGGGUCCCAUACACUUUGUUGCCUUCUCAACGGAGCUCUACUACUUUCUACACUAUGGCUUGAAGAGUUUAGUUUCGCAGUACGAGUGGCUGGUGCGUGAUUUAGAGAUGGCGAAUCGACCAGAGAAUCGCAAAGCGCGUCCUUGGAUUAUAACCUUUGCACAUCGGCCGAUGUAUUGUAGCAAUAAUAAUGGCAAUGACUGUUCAAAGCAUGAGACGGUUGUGCGCACUGGUUUGCCGGUGCUGCAUAUGUUCGGCCUGGAGCAAUUGUUUUAUGAGCAGGGCGUCGAUGUGGCAAUAUGGGCGCAUGAACAUUGCUAUGAGCGCUUGUGGCCCAUUUAUGAUUACAAAGUGUUUAAUGGCUCUUUGGCCGCGCCUUAUCGCAAUCCACGCGCGCCUGUGCAUAUCAUAACCGGUUCGGCGGGUAAUAAGGAGGGGCGUGAGCCUUUCUUUAAAGUGAUGCCCAAGUGGAGCGCGUUUCACAGUCAGGAUUUCGGUUAUACACGUCUCAAGGCGUAUAACGGCACACAUUUAUACUUUGAACAGGUGUCCGAUGACAAAGAUGGACAAAUUAUUGAUGCAUUUUGGGUUGUCCAGGACAAGCAUGGCAGUUAUGUCGAGGAAUAAGCGUAAAGUGUAAAGAGACAUGAAAAAUAACAAUAAUAAUAAUUUUGAUAUUUUAACUUAUUUUCUAUCUUAUAUACAAUAACGGUAUAAGCUGUGAAUUUCACCAAAAAUUUUGCAAACUAGUUCUGCAAAAGCAAAGUAUUUAGUCAAAAGUAAUCUCUAAUCCCAUAAUAUUAUAUGUUUGUAUUUUUUUAUUAUAUAUUUAUGCAUUUUAUGACAAAAACUAUCAAAAUAUAUUUUAAAACUACAAAAUAUGCAUUCCUAAUAGAAAAAAAAUCAUAAAACGAUGGCUGUGUGAAAAUUUGCCUUGUAAACGAAAAUUUUAAAAUUUAAAAAUUAAAUUUAAUUUUUAAUGAAAUUUAAAAAUUAAAAUUAAUUAAAUUGAUUUAAAAUAAAUACAACUGAAUUAAAUUUUAUUGUGAAAAGUCUUUAAAUAAUUUUAAAAAGCUCCUAUCAACAUUUUUAUUAAAAAAAAAUUAACAUUUGUUUCAAAAUUAUGAAAUUAAUUAAAAAAACAUGUAACAGCAAAAAAACUUAAUGAAUAUUUCUUUUAUAUUGUUUCAACUAAACUAUCGUUUUUUAUGUUUAUGUUAUUUGUUUAUGCCUCUUAUUUUAUUAUGUUUGUAUUAUUUGUUUAUGCCACUUGUUUUUUUUAUUCAUUAUAGCAAUAAUUUUUCAUUUAUUUUUUAUUAUUUCAUUAAUUCUCUUAUUUUUUUGUUUUAAUAUUGUAACAUUUAUUAAUGUUUUAUUUUAUUUUUUUGUUGUUGUUACUGCAUUUAAUUAAUUAUAAUUUAUUUAUUUAUUUUUUGUUUUUGUUAUUGCAUUUUUGUUUUGAUUAUUAUUAUUUUUACUUUUUAUUUUAUUUUUUAUAUAUAUUUUUUCAAUUAUUUAUUUUUUAUUAUAUUUUUUAUUUUUCAAUUAUAAAUAUUUUACACUUAUAACUCUGCAUUUGCCAAAUAUUAUAUAUUUUCUAUUAUAUACAAAUAUUUAUAUUAUUAAAUAAUUAUUUACAAUUAUAAAUAUACUUAAUCUCAAUUAUUAACAAAUAAAAGCCAUAUUACAAAGCAUGUCGCCGCAUGUGACUAUUAUUUGUAGGAAAAAAUUUAUUUUACCAAACAAUUUAGCUUUUCAACUUAAUCUUCAAUCAAAAUUAAAGAUUUUUCAUCCUAUUAUACCCUGAACAUUAAGUUUGCCACGCAGUUUGUCAUACGCAGAAGCAAACAUCGGAGACCCUAUAAAAUAUAUAGCUGUGCCGAUUUAGCCAUGUUCGUCUGUAUAUGUGCGAACCAGAGCCUUAGCUUUUGAGAUAUCGCUCUGAAAUUUUGCACACGUCUUUUUCUACACAAGGAGCUGCGCAUUUGUCGGAAGUGCCGAUAUCGGACCACUAUAGCAUAUAGCUGUCUUACAAACUGAUUAAUCGAAAUCAAAAAAAGUUCUUUGUAUAGCCCUUUUGUGAUAUAAAAAAUUAAAUUUUUGUUUUAUAUGGAAACAUAUGCUAGGUUGGGCUGCUUUUAAUCUCAACUGUUAUAUAUGUAUAUGCAAGAUAUUGUGUGUUGUUGUUAUUAUUAUUAUUGUUGUUGCUAAUGUGGCAUAAAACAUGCAUACACUUUAUAUAUGCCACUGAAUCCAGCCCAAGUUGAUUAUAAAUCAGUGUUCGUAAUUUGCAUCACAUCAUAUGAGGCUAAGUUAGGUUAUUCGAUUUGCAUGAAUGUUCGACUUAAAGAAAUAAUAUUUUACCAAGCUAACUUAAACUGAUUCGAAAACAUAUAGUAACUCUCGUUAAGCUUUAAUUAUACUUCAUACGAUUUGAGCAGGUGUAAUGUGAUGUGUUGAUUUUGAUAUACAUAUGUAAAUACUUUCUAGGGUUAAGUAUGAUUUCAUGCAAUGUGCGUGUUGUUGUUGCUGUUAUGUCGAAGUUGUAAUGUGAGUGAUGCAAUGUGCUGUUAUGUAUAAAUUUAUACACUAAAUUGUACUAAUUUUUUUAUUAUGUUGCGAUUUGAUGCGUUAUUGGUGAUGUGAUAUUAUGUCAUAUGCCAUGUUGUGAUGUGAUGUGGUGAUGUGACCUAUAUUAUUUUUUUCUGGCUUUUUAUGCAAACAUUUUUUAACUUCAUGUCAACUUAUUUUAACGCUUAAACAGCUUUCAACAUGAUAUGCGAUCAUUAUUGUGUUGUUUAUAGUGAUGUGAUGUACCUUAACAUACACUUAAGUUUUAAUUGAAAAUCAUUUAUAUGUACAUAUGCAAUUUCUUUCACAAGAUAACCUCUCUGACAUUGUCGUCACCUGGUCCACACGCGAUGCCACCAACCAGUCAGUCGUGCUGUACGGCGAAAACUACGCCGACGCAAAGAGUUUGGUCAACGUCACAGGCGAUGCGCGUCGUUUUGUCGAUGGCGGCCGCAAGCAUCACACACAAUACAUACACAAAGUAACGCUGCGUUUCUUGAAGCCGCAGACGCGUUAUGAAUACUCGUGUGGCAGUGAAUUGGGCUGGUCUGCGCGCUUCAGCUUUACCACGCCGCCGGCAGGCAGCGACUGGCAGCUGAGUUUGGCCAUCUUUGGCGAUAUGGGCAAUGAGAAUGCGCAGUCAUUGGCGCGUUUGCAGCAGGACACGCAGCAGGGUAUGUACGACGCCAUCAUACAUGUGGGUGACUUCGCUUACGACAUGGAUACGGAAAAUGCGCUUGUGGGCGAUGAAUUUAUGCGGCAAGUGGAAACGAUUGCGGCCUAUGUGCCAUACAUGGUGUGUCCUGGCAAUCACGAGGAGAAAUAGUGAGUGUGCAAAGCGUUGCUAAUAUUUAUAUUUGUUAAAUAAUAGAAAAAAAUUUUAAAUGCUUAGUAAUUUUUCGAAUUACAAAACGCGUUUCAAUAUGCCCGGCGAAAGGGAUAGCCUGUGGUAUAGUUUUGAUUUGGGGCCCGUACACUUUGUGUCCUUCUCCACCGAGGUCUAUUACUUCUUGAAAUAUGGCUUCAAAUUGCUUACGAAACAAUUCGAGUGGCUGGAGAAUGAUCUGCGUGUAGCCAAUAAACCGGAGAAUCGUGCACAACGCCCCUGGAUCAUAACUUAUGGUCAUCGUCCGAUGUACUGUAGCGACGACAAGGAGUACGAUUGCAAUGAGAAGUUGGAGACAUUCAUAAGACAGGGUUUGCCAUUGGUGAAAAUGUUCGGUUUGGAGGAUUUGUUCUACAAAAAUGGCGUCGACGUGGAGAUCUUCGCGCACGAACAUUUCUACACGCGCCUCUGGCCUAUUUAUGAUUUCAAAGUGUAUAAUGGUUCGACAGCAGCACCUUACACCAAUCCUAAAGCGCCGAUACAGAUCAUAACCGGCUCGGCUGGCUGCAAAGAGCAACGCGAACCAUUCUCCGAGACGCUGCCCUCGUGGAACGCCUACCACAGCAAUGAUUAUGGCUACACGCGCAUGAAGGCCUACAAUAGCACACAUCUGUACUUCGAACAAGUUUCGGAUGAUAAAAAUGGCGAAAUUGUCGACUCGUUUUGGAUAAUCAAAGACAAGCAUGUGGCUUACAAUGAGUUGUGAAAGACAACGCCGGCGGUGUGUUAAAUAAAUAACUGUACUUUUGAAAUUUGGCUGUAAAACGGGCUGCUUGAAAUUUGAACAACAAAUGGAAGAACAAACAUAUUUUUGAACAAUAGAUAUUACAAUAAUUUACUCUUACCUAGCUGGACCUUAUAAUUAUAGUUAUUUCUUUUAAAAAAUUAAUUUGCUAUAAAUGUAACUUAAAACACUAAUAAUGUAGAAAUGGUUUUAUGCAAUAAAAAAUAUUUAAGUAAAUAAAAUUAGAAAAAUUA